GGUCCAGUGGCUCAGUGGCAGAGUGCUCGCCUGGCAAGCGAGAGGCAUUGGGUUCGAUUCCCAGUCUCGGCCA
rnacentral:tRNA from 1 species